rnacentral:rRNA from 1 species
GCCCUUGAAGUUAUCAAAGGUGUAACCUGCCCAAUGAUUUAUAAAUUAAUAAAAAUAAAAUUUUUUAAAAAAAAUUUAAAGGACGCAGUAUCCUGACUGUGGUAAUGUAGCAUAAUCACUCGCCACUUAAUUGGUGGAUAGUAUGAAUGGUUGAACGAAUAUUUCACUGUCUCCUUUAGAAAGCUCAUUAAAUUAAAAUAAUAGUAAAGAUGCUAUUUUAAACUGUAAGACGAAAAGACCCUAUAGAGCUUAACUAUAUUCUAUAUUUAAAAACAUAAAUCAAAAAUUUUGAAUACAUAUAGGAUGGUAGUUUAGUUGGGGCGACUAUCUUCUAAAAUAAACGAAGACAAGCAAAGUUAAUAAUAAAAAACUUAUUGUAUAAAAAAUAAAUUUAACAAUUAUAAAAAUAGGCUAUAUUGACCCAUUGAAAAUAAGUAAUAUUCUCAAUGAUUAAUAAAUAAAAGCUACCUUAGGGAUAACAGGAUAAUUUUGUUUUAGAGACCCUAUCGAAAACAAAGUUUGUCACCUCUAUGUUGAAUUAAGAUAUCCUAAUAAUGCAGAAGUUAUUAAAGGUAGGUCUGUUCGACCUUUAAAAUCUU